UACGUAGGGUGCAAGCGUUAAUCGGAAUUACUGGGCGUAAAGGGCGCGUAGGCGCCUUCUAAGUCGAACGUGAAAUCCCCGGGCUCAACCCGGGAACUGCGUCCGAUACUGGAAGGCUUGAAUCCGGGAGAGGGAUGCGGAAUUCCAGGUGUAGCGGUGAAAUGCGUAGAUAUCUGGAGGAACACCGGUGGCGAAGGCGGCAUCCUGGACCGGUAAUUGACGCUGAGGCACGAAAGCGUGGGGAGCGAACAGG
rnacentral:rRNA from 1 species